ACAGCAGCAGCCACGGGAACACGGAGGGAGCUAGCGUUGUUCGGAAUUACUGGGCGUAGAGCGCGCGUAGGCGGUUACUCAAGUCAGAGGUGAAAGCCCGGGGCUCAACCCCGGAACUGCCUUUGAAACUAGGUGACUAGAAUCUUGGAGAGGUCAGUGGAAUUCCGAGUGUAGAGGUGAAAUUCGUAGAUAUUCGGAAGAACACCAGUGGCGAAGGCGACUGACUGGACAAGUAUUGACGCUGAGGUGCGAAAGCGUGGGGAGCAAACAGGAUUAGAUACCCCCGUAGUCCCUGUCUCUUAUAC
rnacentral:rRNA from 1 species